rnacentral:lncRNA from 1 species
CAGGCUCAGCAGGGAACUACAGGAGAAAGAGAAAGUGAUUGAAGUCCUGCAGGCCAAGCUGGAUACCCGGUCUCUCUCACCCCCCAGCAGCCAUGCUGCGUCUGACUCCCACCGCUCUGCCAGCAGCACAUCCUUCCUGUCGGAUGACAUAGAAGCCUGCUCUGUACUGAAGACUGUGUCUUCACAGUGCUCAUAGGACGUGGGUGUGUGUAUAAAUGUAUAAUAUAGAUUUAUAUAUGUCGCUAUGGCUAUGUGUUGAAGGCCAGCAUAAUGUGCAGAGCGAUGGGUGAGAAGACGCUAAGCAGUCUUUCUUAUGGCUAUUAAAGCUAACUGUGUAUAAAGAAAUU